rnacentral:misc_RNA from 1 species
GAUGAAGAACGUAGCGAAAUGCGAUAAGUAAUGUGAAUUGCAGAAUUCAGUGAAUCAUCGAAUCUUUGAACGCACAUUGCGCCCGCCAGUAUUCUGGCGGGCAUGCCUGUUCGAGCGUCAUUACAACCCUCAGGCCCCCGGGCCUGGCGUUGGGGAUCGGCGGAGCCCCCCGUGGGCACACGCCGUCCCCCAAAUGCAGUGGCGGUCCCGCCGCAGCUUCCAUCGCGUAGUAGCUAACACCUCGCGACUGGAGAGCGGCGCGGCCACGCCGUAAAACACCCAACUCUUCUGAAGUUGACCUCGAAUCAGGUAGGAAAACCCGCUGAACUUAAGCAUAUCAAUAGCGGAGGA